GACGAACGCUGGCGGCGUGCUUAACACAUGCAAGUCGAACGCUGAAGCCGGGGCUUGCCUUGGUGGAUGAGUGGCGAACGGGUGAGUAACACGUGAGUAAUCUGCCCUUGACUUUGGAAUAACUGCUGGAAACGGUGGCUAAUGCCGGAUAUGACCUUGUGCCGCAUGGUGUGGGGUGGAAAGUUUUGGCGGUCAGGGAUGGGCUCGCGGCCUAUCAGCUUGUUGGUGGGGUAAUGGCUUACCAAGGCUUUGACGGGUAGCCGGCCUGAGAGGGUGACCGGCCACACUGGGACUGAGACACGGCCCAGACUCCUACGGGAGGCAGCAGUGGGGAAUAUUGGACAAUGGGCGAAAGCCUGAUCCAGCAACGCCGCGUGAGGGAUGACGGCCUUCGGGUUGUAAACCUCUUUCAGUACCGACGAAGCGUGAGUGACGGUAGGUACAGAAGAAGGACCGGCCAACUACGUGCCAGCCGCCGCAGUAAAAC
rnacentral:rRNA from 1 species